CCUACGGGUGGCAGCAGUGGGGAAUAUUGCACAAUGGGGGAAACCCUGAUGCAGCGACGCCGCGUGAGUGAAGAAGUAAUUCGUUAUGUAACGCUCUAUGAGAAGGGAAGAAACAGACGGUACCUAAGUAAGAAGCCCCGGCUAACUACGUGCCAGCAGCCGCGGUAAUACGUAGGGGGCAAGCGUUAUCCGGAUUUACUGGGUGUAAAGGGAGCGUAGACGGCGAAGAAAGUCUGAAGUGAAAGCCCGCGGCUUAACCGCGGAACUGCUUUUUAAACUUUGUUGCUGGAGUACCGGAGAGGUAAGCGGAAUUCCUAGUAUAGCGGUGAAAUACGUAGAUAUUAGGAGUAACACCAGUGACGAAGGCGGCUUACUGGACGGUAACUGCCGUUGAGGCUCGAAAGCGUUGGCCUCACCCACUCUUAGAUACCCUAGUAGUC
rnacentral:rRNA from 1 species